CCAACAGGGAUUGCCUCAGUAACGGCGAGUGAAGCGGCAACAGCUCAAAUUUGAAAUCUGGCCCCAGGCCCGAGUUGUAAUUUGUAGAGGAUGCUUCGGGCGCGGUGCCUUCCAAGUCCCCUGGAACGGGGCGCCAUAGAGGGUGAGAGCCCCGUACGGUUGGCCACCAAGCCUGUGUGAAGCUCCUUCGACGAGUCGAGUAGUUUGGGAAUGCUGCUCUAAAUGGGAGGUAGACCCCUUCUAAAGCUAAAUACCGGCUGGAGACCGAUAGCGCACAAGUAGAGUGAUCGAAAGAUGAAAAGAACUUUGAAAAGAGGGUUAAAAAGCACGUGAAAUUGUUGAAAGGGAAGCGCUUGUGACCAGACUUGCGCCGGGGCGAUCAUCCUGCCUUCUGGCUGGUGCACUCGCCCCGGCUCAGGCCAGCGUCGGUUCGUUGGGGGGUACAAAGGCGUCGGGAACGUAGCUCCCCCGGGAGUGUUAUAGCCCUUCGCGUCAUGCCCCCUCGCGGACCGAGGUACGCGCUCUGCAAGGACGCUGGCGUAAUGGUCAUCAGCGGCCCGUCUUGAAACACGGACCAAGGAGUCGAGGUUCUGCGCGAGUGUCUGGGUGCCAAACCCGCACGCGUAAUGAAAGUGAACGUAGGUGGGAGCUUCGGCGCACCACCGACCGAUCCUGAUGUUCUCGGAUGGAUUUGAGUAUGAGCGUUGGGCCUCGGACCCGAAAGAUGGUGAACUAUGCUUGGAUAGGGUGAAGCCAGAGGAAACUCUGGUGGAGGCUCGCAGCGGUUCUGACGUGCAAAUCGAUCGUCAAAUCUGAGCAUGGGGGCGAAAGACUAAUCGAACCAU
rnacentral:rRNA from 1 species